rnacentral:rRNA from 1 species
UACGUAGGGGGCAAGCGUUGUCCGGAUUUAUUGGGCGUAAAGAGCGUGUAGGCGGUUUGGUAGGUCCGUUGUGAAAACUCGAGCUCAACCUCGAGACGCCGGCGGAAACCAUCAGGCGUGGAGUCCGGAAGAGGAGAGUGGAAUUCCUGGUGUAGCGGUGAAAUGCGCAGAUAUCAGGAAGAACACCCGUGGCUAAGGCGGCUCUCUAGUACGGUACUGACGCUGAGACGCGAAAGCGUGGGGAGCGAACAGG